GAUCCUACGGGACGCAGCAGUGGGGAAUAUUGCACAAUGGGGGAAACCCUGAUGCAGCGACGCCGCGUGAGUGAAGAAGUAUUUCGGUAUGUAAAGCUCUAUCAGCAGGGAAGAUAAUGACGGUACCUGACUAAGAAGCCCCGGCUAACUACGUGCCAGCAGCCGCGGUAAUACGUAGGGGGCAAGCGUUAUCCGGAUUUACUGGGUGUAAAGGGAGCGUAGGUGGCAGGGCAAGUCAGAUGUGAAAACCCGGGGCUCAACUCCGGGAGUGCAUUUGAAACUGUCCGGCUAGAGUGCAGGAGAGG
rnacentral:rRNA from 1 species